UGGGGAAUAUUACACAAUGGGCGCAAGCCUGAUGCAGCGACGCCGCGUGAGGGAUGGAGGCCUUCGGGUUGUAAACCUCUUUCGCCAGUGAAGCAGGCCAUCUUCUUUGUGGGGUGGUUGACGGUAGCUGGAUAAGAAGCGCCGGCUAACUACGUGCCAGCAGCCGCGGUAAUACGUAGGGCGCGAGCGUUGUCCGGACUUAUUGGGCGUAAAGAGCUCGUAGGCGGCUGGUCGCGUCUGUCGUGAAAUCCCCUGGCUUAACUGGGGGCUUGCGGUGGGUACGGGCCGGCUUGAGUGCGGUAGGGGAGACUGGAAUUCCUGGUGUAGCGGUGGAAUGCGCAGAUAUCAGGAGGAACACCGGUGGCGAAGGCGGGUCUCUGGGCCGUUACUGACGCUGAGGAGCGAAAGCGUGGGGAGCGAACAGG
rnacentral:rRNA from 1 species